rnacentral:lncRNA from 1 species
AGUUCUAUUCUGCAAGCUCAGAGAUGCAAAAAGCCUGCGGCGCUCUGGAGGCGCCUGGUCCUGGGGACCUCUUUCCUCCACUCUGUUCUCAGCAUAGGAAGAUGGGGCUGGGGAAUUCUUUUUGGUUUUCUGGUUUUGUUUUGCUCUGGUUUUGGUCGGGGUUUUGUAUUUUUCUAUUCUUCCUUGGUUUUAUUUUUUCCUUUUUUUCCUUUUUUUUUUUCUUUUGCUUUCCUGUCAUUCUCCCAGCCAAAAGCCGCCUUCGACCCUUUUGAUUUGAUGUAGCAAAGAGUGUGUGUCCAGAUUAUCUGAAAUAGACACUGAAGAAGGUAAGGGUGGAAACCGGUUUCAUUUUUCAGAGGGUUGGAAGACUGCGCUUUGCUGCCGCAGCGGCUCCCGCUCCGGGAGUGGGGGGGGGGGGAGUGAUUAUGUAUGCACCAGCUAAUUCUUCCAUCAAAACUUCUUGUCAGCGAUGUCAGGAGUAUUUUUUCCCCUUUUUAUAAAAACACUUGAUGUUUCAGGAAGUGUUAAUCCCUCAAGAUUUGGGGGGGGGAGGGAGGGGGUAGGGAAGCGAUGGGUGGGGGGGGGAUAAUGUUUCUUGAGCCCGGGGAAACACCUUUUGGAGCUUUUUGCUUUUCCACUUUGGAAUUGGGGUUUACUGUGAAAUUCGGGACAGGAAAGAGAUUUUUAUGGGCAUGGGAGAAAGAAGCCCUUACACUCUGUGCUGAACUAGAUGUGGGUUCUGAUGGCUAUGGGAGCCAGGUAACAGAAAAGUUUGCUUUAGUCUGUGAUUUCAAGGGUCUUUAACCCCAGGUGAGAGGAAGGCAAAACCCAGAUAAUUCUGCAAAUGGACUUUCAGAAGAUAAAGGGAGAAAGGGAUCAAUAUUAGGAUACAGGUUCAUUGGUGGUGGUGGGGGCAGGCAUUCAUUUCUACUUUGUGCCCAAUUUUUCUUGAUUUAAUAACUCAGAGUCUAUCUGUAUCCGGCACUCAGACCUGCUCUUCUUUGGGAAAGCAGAUGACAGUUCCUUCAGAGGGGAAAGAUUCAGUUCGUUUCUUCAUUAAAGGACUCCUACAAAUUCACACUUGGGGCCACAGAAGUGGAAGGGAUUCUGAGAACUUUUUGUGGUGCUUAGCUGUUAAGUGCAGAAAUCAGGAAGUCUGAAGAACCAUCUAACCUGGGCCAGGUGCAGAUUCCCUGAAGAAGGAAAUAGUAAUGCAACAUAGUGAUCAGCAAAGGCAAGCUGUGGACCAUAGAUGUUUUCAGUUACUUCUUCUUAAAAUAUCGUCAAAAGGCAGGCUCUCCCCCACCAAUAGAUUUCACCACUCACAGGACCGCUCAGCCCAUCCGAGCUACCAAAAGCCAAGACCAGUGAGGGAAAGGUUGGGACUGUGCCCCACCCCCACCCCUACCCCCUUUAGAGCUCGUGUGUGAGAGAGAGGAUAUUAAAGAGGUAUCUGUUGUUUAGCAA